rnacentral:rRNA from 1 species
GACGAACGCUGGCGGCGUGCUUAACACAUGCAAGUCGAACGAACAGGCCCUGCUCUUGCUGCGUGCUCGUUUGCCGAACGGGUGAGUAACACGCGUGUAUCCCGUCCCUGUCAUAGGGAUAACACUAGGAAACACGGGCUCAUAUCGGAUAGGAUCUCCUGCAGCACGGUGGGGGAUGGUAAGUUUCGGCGGUUGGGGAUGGACUCGCGGCUUAUCCGCUUGUUGGGGGGGUAGUGGCUUACCAAGGCUUCGACGGCUAGCCGGCCUGGGAGGGGGGCCGGCCACAUUGGGACUGAGGGACGGCCCAGAAUCCUACGGGAGGCAGCGGGGGAGAGUAUUGCGGAGUAGGCGGAAGUCAGAUGCGACGACGCCGCGUGCGGGAUGACGUGCUUCGAGUUGUGAACCACUUUCUCCGUUACCGUGGCGGGAGUGACGGUAAUGGAUAAAAAAGCACCGGCUAACUACGUG